CGCUGCCCGCUGACGACCGGCUCUCUCGGCCUGGGUUUGGGAGGCGGGAAAGCGCGGCCUCGGGCCCUCGCCCAGGCAGCCUUCAGAGGGCUAAACUGAGUUAGUGCUGCAGACCUGCAGCGUGGACCUCCCUGGCAGCAUCUUAGAAACGCACGUUUUGGAUCUUCUCUCCCCUCCCUGCAUCAGAUGUAACCUUGUAACAAGCGCCCCAGCUGACCGGUGUAUUGCAGGAAAACAGAUCACUCCCAAAUGUUUGAAACAACUCUCCAUGCUGUGGAAGCGAUGGCCACAUUGUUGCUGUCUUUUUUUCUGAGAGCAGCUUUUAUUAGAGUACUGAAAUAAUAACUUUUCAUUUCAUUAAACAUGCCUGACUUACCAGCUUUUUGCUUGGUAGACUUGGGUAUGGAAGUCGGACCAUUGAGCAAUGUGCAGUCUGGUGGCAUAUCGGCAGGUUACUAGUUGAAAUUAGGGCA